rnacentral:rRNA from 1 species
AUUUGUCCCCUAAAUAGGGACUCGUAUGAACGGCUAAAUGAGGUUCUAACUGUCUCAUUAGACUAAUCAAUGAAACUGAUCUUUCAGUACAAAAGCUGAAAUAAACCCAUAAGACGAGAAGACCCUGUGGAGCUUAAAACUCAUACUAUAAACAAACCACGCCAUUCAAAUUUUUAGUUGGGGCGACUUUGGAACAAAACAAAACUUCCAUGCCAGGCCCCUAUCAAGGCCUACGCGCCAAAAUAACUACUUAUUGACCCAGCCACCAUUGAGCUGAGCAACGAACCAAGUUACCCCAGGGAUAACAGCGCCAUCCUCUUCAAGAGUCCCUAUCGACAAGAGGGUUUACGACCUCGAUGUUGGAUCAGGACACCCCGGUGGUGCAACCGCUA